rnacentral:rRNA from 1 species
GACGAACGCUGGCGGCGUGCUUAACACAUGCAAGUCGAACGGAAAGGCCCUGCUUUUGUGGGGUGCUCGAGUGGCGAACGGGUGAGUAACACGUGAGUAACCUGCCCUUGACUUUGGGAUAACUUCAGGAAACUGGGGCUAAUACCGGAUAGGAGCUCCUGCUGCAUGGUGGGGGUUGGAAAGUUUCGGCGGUUGGGGAUGGACUCGCGGCUUAUCAGCUUGUUGGUGGGGUAGUGGCUUACCAAGGCUUUGACGGGUAGCCGGCCUGAGAGGGUGACCGGCCACAUUGGGACUGAGAUACGGCCCAGACUCCUACGGGAGGCAGCAGGGGGGAAUAUUGCACAAUGGGCGGAAGCCUGAUGCAGCAACGCCGCGUGCGGGAUGACGGCCUUCGGGUUGUAAACCGCUUUCGCCUGUGACGAAGCGUGAGUGACGGUAAUGGGUGAAGAAGCACCGGCUAACUACGUG